rnacentral:rRNA from 1 species
GNCGAACGCUGUGCGGCGUGCCUAAUAAUGCAAGUCGAGCGGACUUGAUGGAGUGCUUGCACUCCUGAUGGUUAGCGGCGGACGGGUGAGUAACACGUAGGUAACCUGCCCAUAAGAUGGGAUAACCCACGGNAAACGUGAGCUAAUACCAGAUNAGGCAUUUUCCUCGCAUGAGGGAAAUGAGAAAGGCGGAGCAAUCUGUCACUUAUGGAUGGACCUGCGGCGCAUUAGCUAGUUGGUGAGGUAACGGCUCACCAAGGCGACGAUGCGUAGCCGACCUGAGAGGGUGAUCGGCCACACUGGGACUGAGACACGGCCCAGACUCCUACGGGAGGCAGCAGUAGGGAAUCUUCCGCAAUGGACGAAAGUCUGACGGAGCAACGCCGCGUGAGUGAUGAAGGUUUUCGGAUCGUAAAGCUCUGUUGCCAGGGAAGAACGCCUAGGAGAGUAACUGCUCCUAGGGUGACGGUACCUGAGAAGAAAGCCCCGGCUAACUACGU